rnacentral:lncRNA from 1 species
GAUUUUCGCACCCAUUGAGGUAAAACAAAACAUUGAAUUGUAAACCCGAAUGUUUUCACGAAAGAGUAAGCUUUGUCGACCAUUGUUCGGAUCUAGUAACUGCUGAAGAAAUGGCGGUGUAGAGUCUGACAAAGGAAUCUGAAUUUCUCCUUUUAGGCAACAGCCACUGUAAAUAGGUGCAUUGUUAUUUGUUCGAACACUGCUGAUUAAUGCCUCACCUAUCCAAAAGUAAGCACCACAGUGAUUACACUGGAACGAACUGUCACCAGAAUCUUUGUACUCUAC